rnacentral:rRNA from 1 species
AAGUCGUAACAAGGUAGCCAAGGGCGAAUUCGCGGCCGCUAAAUUCAAUUCGCCCUAUAGUGAGUCGUAUUAAGACAUUUAAGAAAUCUUCCCUUUGGUUCUAGAUAACUGUUGGGAAUGACUGCUAAUACCGGAUGAUCUCUAUUAGACCAAAGAUUUAUCGCCUGAAGAUGAGCCCGCGUAGGAUUAGCUAGUUGGUGUGGUAAAGGCGCACCAAGGCGACGAUCCUUAGCUGGUCUGAGAGGAUGAUCAGCCACACUGGGACUGAGACACGGCCCAGACUCCUACGGGAGGCAGCAGUGGGGAAUAUUGGACAAUGGGCGCAAGCCUGAUCCUCACUGCCGCGUGAGUGAUGAAGGCCUUAGGGUUGUAAAGCUCUUUUACCCGGGAUGAUAAUGACAGUACCGGGAGAAUAAGCCCCGGCUAACUCCGUGCCGCCGCCUCGGUAAUACUGACGGGGCUAGCGUUGUUCUCAAUUACUGGGCGUAAAGCGCACGUAGGCUGCUUUGUUGGUUAGAGGUCAAAGCCUGGAGCUCUACUCCAGCACUGCCUUUAACACUGCAUCUCUUGAAUCCAGGAGAGGUGAGUGCAAUCCUAGUGUCGAGGUGAAAUUUCUUAAUAUUCUCAAGACCCCCGUGGCUACGCGGCCCCUGGCUGGUAUUACUCUGAGUCCCAAAGCGUGGGGAGCAACAAGACUGAUUCCCUCGUAUCCAC